rnacentral:rRNA from 1 species
UGUGCAGGCGGUCGGGUAAGUUGGAUGUGAAAGCUCCUGGCUUAACUGGGAGAGGUCGUUCAAUACUACCGGACUCGAAGAUGGGAGAGGGAGGUGGAAUUCCGGGUGUAGUGGUGAAAUGCGUAGAUAUCCGGAGGAACACCAGUGGCGAAAGCGGCCUCCUGGCCCAAACCUGACGCUCAUACACGAAAGCUAGGGGAGCGAACGGGAUUAGAGACCCCGGUAGUCCUAGCUGUAAACGAUGUAGACUUGGCGUCGGUGGGUUUAAAUCCAUCGGUGCCGAAGCCAACGCGAUAAGUCUACCGCCUGGGGACUACGGCCGCAAGGUUAA